UACAGAGGUCUCAAGCGUUGUUCGGAUUCAUUGGGCGUAAAGGGUGCGUAGGCGGUCGGGUAAGUCUGAUGUGAAAUCUCCAAGCUUAACUUGGAAAUGGCAUCGGAUACUAUUCGGCUCGAGGAAUGGAGGGGAGACUGGAAUACUUGGUGUAGCAGUGAAAUGCGUAGAUAUCAAGUGGAACACCAGUGGCGAAGGCGAGUCUCUGGACAUUUCCUGACGCUGAGGCACGAAAGCCAGGGGAGCAAACAGG
rnacentral:rRNA from 1 species